rnacentral:tRNA from 1 species
UGGGUUAUAGCUCAAGUGGUAGAGCGCACAUGCUUAGCAUGCACAAGGUUCUGGGUUCAAUUCCCAGUGCCUCUU